UUCUCCUCUUCACCCUCUCUGUUUCCUUGAUCAUGAUUUUUUUUUCUUUUCUGAAUACAGUAUCUAUGCCUCUAAUCAGGAGAAAACUUGCAGCUGUGAACUAGAAUCUGACAAAUACUCUACCUGUGGCUUUAGGAUGCUGGCUGGCAGAAAUCAGGAGCAAUGCUCACAGGACUGCUGAGGAAGGAGUGACUGAGUAGAAUCAAGACCAAGGUAGUAUACCAGUAGCUAGCCUGGAUAAUUUAGAAAGUCUGUCAUUAGGUAGGGGUUUAAAAAAAAAGCACUUCUAUUUACAUUUGGUGUAUUCUUUCUGAAUUUGUGUGAUCUCUUUUACCUUGUAUAUAAACCUUAAAAAACCCAUUUUCAUGCUCUAUGCGGAGAAGGGAGGGAAGG
rnacentral:lncRNA from 1 species